GUCCACGCUGUAAACGUUGAUGACUCGAUAUCGGGGCUUAUGGCUCCGGUGUCCAAGCGCAAGCGAUAAGUCAUCCACCUGGGGAGUACGCUCGCAAGGGUGAAACUCAAAGGAAUUGACGGGGGCCCGCACAAGCGGUGGAGCAUGUGGUUUAAUUCGAUGGUACGCGAGGAACCUUACCUGGGCUAGAAUGUGCGUGAAUCCUUUAGAAAUAGGGGAGCCAGCAAUGGACACAAAACAAGGUGCUGCAUGGCUGUCGU
rnacentral:rRNA from 1 species